AGAAUCAACGCUGGCGGCGUGCCUAACACAUGCAAGUCGAACGAGAAAGUGGAGCAAUCCAUGAGUACAGUGGCGCACGGGUGAGUAACACGUGACUAACCUACCCUUGAGUGGGGAAUAACCUGGAGAAAUCUAGGCUAAUACCGCAUAACACCUACGGGUCAAAGGAGCAAUUCGCUUAAGGAGGGGGUCGCGGCCGAUUAGUUAGUUGGCGGGGUAAUGGCCCACCAAGACGAUGAUCGGUA
rnacentral:rRNA from 1 species